rnacentral:tRNA from 1 species
GCCACCGUGGCACCCCCCUAGUCGGACUGAAAAUCCGCGUGUCAUCAGUUCGACUCUGAUCCUCGGCACCA